rnacentral:rRNA from 1 species
GUAGGGUGCGAGCGUUAAUCGGAAUUACUGGGCGUAAAGCGUGCGCAGGCGGUUGUGUAAGUCAGAUGUGAAAUCCCCGGGCUCAACCUGGGAACUGCAUUUGAGACUGCACGGCUAGAGUGUAGCAGAGGGGGGUAGAAUUCCACGUGUAGCAGUGAAAUGCGUAGAGAUGUGGAGGAAUACCGAUGGCGAAGGCAGCCCCCUGGGUUACUACUGACGCUCAUGCACGAAAGCGUGGGGAGCAAAC